GAAAUUUACAAACAAAACUUUGCGGCGAGCACGUUUCGAAGUAGAAAAUCAACAGAACCUUCCCUUCAUCGUCGUGUCGCCCUCUACGCUCCAUUUCCCGCGAAAACCUCUCCUGUCUCCCCCUCCCAUCUCUCUAUCCAUAUGUUUUUUCUCUUUGUAUCCUCUCUCUUUCUCUCUCUAACAUUCUCACUCUACACUCACAAUGCAAUGAAGAACCUGAUCAAUUCAAUCAGUACCGAUUUACAUCCAUGUCGACAAACGAUCACGAAGAUCCUUCAUCGUCGUCAAAAACGAUGCCGUCUCCUUCUCCGUCAACUCUCAAUCCCUCCUCCUCUCCUUCCUCUUUCAAACUCCGAAAAAUCCCUCCCAUUCCAAUCCGCCGAAUCCAGAAACCCGACGCCCCACUGAACGACACCGAAUCAAUCAACAAUGACGACGGCAGCGAUACAUAUUACGAUAGUAGAAAUGACGGUAAGGAGAUAUUGGAGGAGAGAAAUUAUAAAACGGACAAGAAUUCGCCGAUAAUUAUGGCGUCAGCGCUCGGGUUGAAUCAUAUCAGAACACGAUCCCUCCCGGUUCCUUCUCCGCUUAGGUUUUCGUCGUCUGCUGGUACGCCGUCGUAUUUAGAGAAUGCUCAGGUUAAUAAUAAGGAGGAUAAAACUGACGUCGAAACGAGGCUUGCUGGAGGGGAAAAGGUUUCGUGGAGUCAUUCAAAACCACGGAGAACUCAUUCGCAACUCAAUCCAGCAAUGGAGGGCAAUCAGGCAGCAUUUUUUGCAAAGGAAAUCCAGUCUCCACGUUUUCAAGCUAUAUUGCGUCUUACAAGUGGAAGGAUGAAGAAGCCAGACGUUAAGAGCUUCUCUCAUGAGCUUAAUUCCAAAGGAGUUAGGCCUUUUCCAGUUUGGAAGUCCCGCGCAUUUGGUCAUAUGGAGGAAGUUAUGGUGGUAAUCAGGACGAAAUUCAUCAGGUUAAAGGAGGAAGUUGAUUGUGAUUUAGGUAUAUUUGCUGGGGAUUUGGUGGGUAUACUUGAAAAGACCUCGGAUGCUCACCCUGAAUGGAGAGAGAGUUUGGAGGACUUAUUGGUUGUAGCUCGACAAUGUGCUAAGAUGUCAUCUAAUGAAUUUUGGGUGAAAUGUGAGAGUAUCGUCCUGAACCUAGAUGAUAAACGUCAAGAGCUUCCAAUGGGGAUUGUCAAACAAGCACACACUCGGCUUUUAUUUAUCCUCACUCGAUGCACUAGGCUUGUGCAGUUUCAAAAGGAGAAUGGUUAUGAUGAAGACAAAAUUCUGGGUAUUCAUCAAUGUAGUGAUCUUGGAGUUUAUCCAGAACAGAUUAUAGAAAUUGCACAGCAGGACUUUAGUGGUCCAUUGGUGGGGUGGAAGACAGCGAACGAGAAGCAGAGAAAGAAAUUCCAUAGUCAUGAACAAGACAGUCAGGUUAUUAAGCAAGAUCAUCUAGAUCAAACUUUGGAGGUUAGCACGGCAAAAAGUUUUGAUUCAACUGGAAGUAGUUUUAGGAUGUCAUCUUGGAAAAAACUUCCAUCCGCUGCUGAGAAAAAUCGGAAGGGUUCUGAUCUUGUUCAAACACCUUCAAAGGAUAAAUCAGAACCAAUUCACAAUAAGGAUGAUUAUUCUGAAAAUCUUGAAACUCCAGAGCAUCCUCUAUCCCCAGGAACAAAAAGAGUUUCUUGGGGACUCUGGGGGGAACAACACAAUGUUGCAUAUGAAAAUUCCAUGAUAUGCCGGAUCUGCGAGGUUGAAAUACCGAUUGUACAUGUAGAGGAACACUCUCUGAUUUGUACUAUUGCUGACAGAUGUGACUUGAAAGGCUUUGGUGUAAAUGAAAGACUUGAAAGAGUUGCGGAAACUCUCGAAAAGAUACUGGACUCAUGGUCACCAAAAAGCACACCAAAAAGCACUCCAAAAGGAUGUGAUACUCCAAGAGGAAGUCCUGAGGUUGAAAGACUGCCUACAUCAGGUAUACAUGAAGUAUCAGAUGGGUUAUCAACAAAACGAAACAGCAUCUCUUCUCACUGCUCUGAAGAGAUGCUUGAUGUCGUCCCUGAUACUUUUGUGAUGGAAGAUCUCAACGCUUUUCCAGGAAUUUCAAGCGAAGCAUGUUCCACUCUAACACCAGAUGUAGACAAAAAAACCUCAUCAGGAGAAAGCUUGACACCACGAACACCAUUAUUAACGCCAAGGACUAGCCAAAUAGGAUUGCUAUUGAGUGGACAGAGGACAAUAGCAGAGCUUGAGAAUUCCCAUCAGGUAAGCAAGCUACUGGAUAUUGCUCGUUCUGUUGCAAGUCUAAGUGGCAACUAUAGUGCAUUACAGAGCAUGCUGGACCUUGUACAAGACGUAAAAUAUGCCAUUCAGGAUAGGAAGGUGGAUGCCCUCAUUGUAGAGACUUUUGGAAGACGCAUAGAGAAAUUAGUUCAGGAGAAAUGUGUACUUCUCUGUAAACAAAUAGAUGAUGAGAAAUCAGAUCCAUCAAAUCAUAUGGCUGAUGAAGAUAGUUCCGAGGAAAAUGAUGCAGUUCGAAGUUUGCGUACAAGUCCUAUUAAUAUGUCUUCUAAAGACCGAACUUCUAUAGAGGAUUUUGAAAUAAUAAAACCAAUCAGUAGAGGGGCAUUUGGAAGGGUUUUCCUUGCCAGAAAAAGAGCUACCGGUGAUUUGUUUGCUAUAAAGGUCUUAAAGAAGGCUGACAUGAUCCGUAAAAACGCAGUUCAGAGUAUUUUGGAAGAGCGUGACAUCCUCAUAACAGUCAGCAAUCCUUUUGUGGUUCGAUUUUUCUACUCCUUCACAUGCAGGGAAAAUCUGUAUCUGGUCAUGGAAUAUCUAAACGGUGGAGAUCUGUACUCUUUAUUGAGAAACUUGGGCUGCUUCGAUGAAGACAUGGCCCGUAUGUAUAUUGCAGAAGUUGUUCUUGCUUUGGAGUAUUUGCAUUCUUCAAAUGUCAUUCAUAGAGACUUGAAGCCUGACAAUUUGUUGAUUAGUCAAGAUGGUCACAUCAAGUUGACAGAUUUUGGGCUAUCAAAAGUUGGUCUUAUCAACAGUACAGAUGAUUUGUCUGUUCCGUUAGUCAGUAGUUCUGGUUUUCUUGAUGAUGAUGAACUGAAAAGUCAAUCUUCAUCCAAGAGUGAAGAGCGUCAAAAGCAUCCAGUUGUUGGAACUCCUGAUUAUUUGGCACCUGAGAUACUUCUUGGAAUGGGGCAUGGUGCAACUGCUGAUUGGUGGUCUGUGGGUGUUAUUCUUUAUGAGAUGCUUGUUGGUAUACCUCCAUUCAAUGCAGAAACUCCACAGCAAAUAUUUGACAACAUAAUGAAUAGAGAUAUUCCUUGGCCCAGGAUUCCUGAGGAGAUGAGCUUCGAUGCCUGUGAUUUGAUUGACAAAUUGUUGGCGGAAAAUCCACUUCAAAGGCUAGGAGCAACAGGAGCUAGAGAGGUUAAGAAACAUUCUUUCUUUAGAGACAUAAAUUGGGACACGCUUGCAAGGCAAAAGGCUAUGUUCAUUCCAUCAGGAGAAGCGCAUGACACAAGUUAUUUUAUGAGCCGGUAUAUAUGGAAUCCAGAAGGUGAAAAUGUGCAUGGAGGCAGUGACUUUGAGGACCUGACAGACACAUGCAGCAGUGGUUCAUUCAGCAAUACACAUGAUGAUAACGGGGGUGAAUGUGAUAGCUUGGCAGAGGUUGGCGCCCCAAUUCUUGAUAUGACGUACUCUUUUAGUAAUUUCUCGUUUAAGAAUUUGCCUCAGCUGGUUUCCAUCAAUUAUGAUCUAGUUGGUAAGAGCACAAAGGAAGCAGCAGAUGCCUCCAAACCAUCAGUUCCAUGACAUUUUAAAUUUGGUUGCUUCGGCGUAUGUGAGCUUCCACGACCUACACAAUUCUUCAUUUGCUACCUGCUGAAGUUCCUGAAAAUUUUGCACAGUUUCUUUACAUGGUCGCCCUCGUUUUCAGUUCUUUGAUCUGAAAAUUUCAGAAAGAGGCUUUCCUUGGACAGGAGCAGGGCUUGAAUAAACAGUCUAUUAGGAAAGCGACAUGCCCAUUUUACAGAUAUGGAGCUGCCAAACAAAGUGAUACUACAGCACAGAGAGAGUGGGAUUUGAUUGCUGCAGCCAACAGUGGAUGGAUGUUAAGUGGGACAAGUACAUGCUAUUUCGGGGUGGAUCUCAACUUUUUGAAAGUAGGUAGGUAAGGUCUCACUGUUAAUUUCUUGUGAAUGAUUCUGCAAUCCAUAAAAACUUUUAGAUUGUGAUAGAAAGAGGGAAAGAAACAUGCCAUUUGCUCUUUCUUUAGUCAAAUUGUAUAAACAACAAUUUCAAGAAAUAUCAAAGUUUAACGAGUAAAAGUAGAUGAAAAGGAGCAAUGCUAAUUUUAUAGAAAGAUUUUAAGAAAUCUCAACCAUUGAUUCAUGGAAUUCAUUAGUAGGAUCCUCUCAUUCAAUAUAUUAGGCUUUUACAAAGGGAUUCUGAAAAAAAAAAUUAUUAUGUAAAAUUAAUAUAAUGUUUUUGGAUGGAUUGAAUUGAUGCCCUUCAAUCAAAAGCUCAGACCAUAAUGUAUUGAUUAUACUCGAAGUUGCAACAAUUACCUAGCUAGGAAGAUUUUUUGCUUCCUCUCUUGUGCAUACAUAGACAAUGUGAUUCCUUCAAAAAAGAAAAAAGAAGUAAAGAUCAAGUUGCAAGACAAGGAAUCAGAUGGUUUCAAAAUGAUUGAGAAUCAAAUUUUAGAUGUUAUGUCAUCAUAGCCCAAUACUCAUAUCUCUUGCUGCGUUUUAUAUUUGUCAUUCUCUAUUGCCUAUGAUAAUUGCUUUUUUAUUGGUUUGUUUAUGAAACAUAGCUGAUAGCACACUCAAAAUUCCACAAUCAAAAGUAGGCAUCUGAUUUAGAUUCCCACUUAGGCUAUCCUUUUGACAUUAUCAUUUGAAGAUUAAGGCCACUACUAGCUAGCCAAGAUUAUGAUUUACGUUAUCAUCAUAAAAAGUUCUUGCUGUGCUGCAGCUUGGAUAUAUAAUUUAAGACUAGCUAUUAAAGUUGCAAGUAUAUAUAUGCUGGCUGGUUUUCUUAGGCGUUGAGUUAAAUAAUGUGUUUGCUCCUUCCUGUAUCUCAACAAGGGAGACUUGAUUUUGAUAGGCCAAGAAUAGCGAGAAAUUUUAGACUAUUUCAGGAGCAAUUACCAAUAUUUUACAUCAUAAAAGAGAGAUAAACAUAAAGAGAAGACAGAAAUAUGCGAGAAAACAAUAUAUAUAUAUUGAUAGUUACUGUUCCCACGAAGAAAAGGUGGAAUGACAGGAGUAGACGCCCAAAGCUUGAGAGUAGAAACCUAAAUUGCCAGCAUAAGCAAUAAUGGACUUAAGAUAUGGAAAGAUUCUGAGUUCAAGUCUGUUGCAUAAUUUAUAUAAAUAACUCUCUUUUUCUACUAGGGCAUGGAGCCUCUCUUUUUUGUUUUCAUUGAUUAAAAAACUAGCACUGUGACUUCAUACAGUCAGUGCUAAACCUUGAAGGAAUGAAUGCGAGGGUUCAAAGGGAUCCACAGUCGACAGAUACCUCAUUGUUUGUAAAUGCUAAAAAAAGAAAAAAGAAGAGUAUAAACGAUUCAGAACUGAUGAGACCGUACUAUGUCUUCUUCUUCUUCUCUGUUUUGACAUGUAGUUGUCAUCCACUGAUGCAAUGCAGUGAUCCUUGGAAUAAACUCCUAACAUUUGACUCUUCUCUGGCAAGUAAUAUCUUUUUUAUUUCUCA